rfam:Vitis vinifera, whole genome shotgun sequence of line PN40024, unordered unoriented unplaced sequences
GAAAGCCGUAUUCGAUGAAAGUCAUAUGUAUGGCUUGGAGGGAGAUCUUUCAUGUCUUUCGAGAUCCACCCUAC